GUGACGGUACCUGCAGAAGAAGCACCGGCUAAUUACGUGCCAGCAGCCGCGGUAAUACGUAGGGUGCGAGCGUUAUCCGGAAUUAUUGGGCGUAAAGAGCUCGUAGGCGGUUUGUCGCGUCUGUCGUGAAAGUCCGGGGCUUAACCCCGGAUCUGCGGUGGGUACGGGCAGACUAGAGUGCAGUAGGGGAGACUGGAAUUCCUGGUGUAGCGGUGGAAUGCGCAGAUAUCAGGAGGAACACCGAUGGCGAAGGCAGGUCUCUGGGCUGUAACUGACGCUGAGGAGCGAAAGCAUGGGGAGCGAACAGGAUUAGAUACCCUGGUAGUCCAUGCCGUAAACGUUGGGCACUAGGUGUGGGGACCAUUCCACGGUUUCCGCGCCGCAGCUAACGCAUUAAGUGCCCCGCCUGGGGAGUACGGCCGCAAGGCUAAAACUCAAAGGAAUUGACGGGGGCCCGCACAAGCGGCGGAGCAUGCGGAUUAAUUCGAUGCAACGCGAAGAACCUUACCAAGGCUUGACAUGUUCUCGAUCGCCGUAGAGAUACGGUUUCCCCUUUGGGGCGGGUUCACAGGUGGUGCAUGGUUGUCGUCAGCUCGUGUCGUGAGAUGUUGGGUUAAGUCCCGCAACGAGCGCAACCCUCGUUCCAUGUUGCCAGCACGUCGUGGUGGGGACUCAUGGGAGACUGCCGGGGUCAACUCGGAGGAAGGUGAGGACGACGUCAAAUCAUCAUGCCCCUUAUGUCUUGGGCUUCACGCAUGCUACAAUGGCCGGUACAAUGGGUUGCGAUACUGUGAGGUGGAGCUAAUCCCAAAAAGCCGGUCUCAGUUCGGAUUGGGGUCUGCAACUCGACCCCAUGAAGUCGGAGUCGCUAGUAAUCGCAGAUCAGCAACGCUGCGGUGAAUACGUUCCCGGGCCUUGUACACACCGCCCGUCAAGUCACGAAAGUUGGUAACACC
rnacentral:rRNA from 1 species